UUGCUGUGCUGGGGGGGCCUCUAACUACAGACUAUCGUCUGGUAUGAGCACUCAUCGAUUAUCUACAUACCCGAAUACUUAUGACUGUAAGAGUUAUUAGUUUACAUUUUAAAACUUUCAACAACGGAUCUCUUGGUUCUCGCAUCGAUGAAGAACGCAGCGAAAUGCGAUAAGUAAUGUGAAUUGCAGAAUUCAGUGAAUCAUCGAAUCUUUGAACGCACCUUGCGCCCCUUGGUAUUCCGAGGAGCAUGCCUGUUUGAGUGUCAUUAUCACUCCCUACCUUCUACUUUGUUGUUAGGGCUGACUGCUUGGGCUUGCUCGCUGCUGGUGCCACUGAUCGGCGCUCUUGAAGUAAUUAUUCAUCCUUUUUGGUUCGGUGGACUCCAGUGAUCCUAUUUCUUCUAGGAGAUAGGACUCUAAGGACGAAAGGAUAACCGUUCAACAUCCGCUUCUCAUCAUCAGAAAGAACUUGCUUUACUAAACCCCAUUUUAUGAUCUGGCCUCAAAUCAGGUAGGACUACCCGCUGAACUUAAGCAUAUCAUAAGCCG
rnacentral:rRNA from 1 species